UUCCUCCUCUUCCUCUUCCUCUUCCUCCUCCUCUUUCUUUUUUUCAAAAUCUUCCAAGGAGCUGUGGUUUUGUCUUCGGAGGAACAGUGGGAGCAGGCUGUGUGUGUGUGUGUGUUGUGUGUGUGUUGUGUGUGUGUCAUUGAAUGGUGUGAAAGGGACGGAGAAGGUCCCGGGCAAUCGAUUUCUUCCCUUGUCCCUUCUGUCUUUUCGGAUCAGCGCCUUUCAAUGGCGGGGAUCUAGGUGCUCUUUCAAGGGGACAAACUUGUGCGACGUUUCGGGCCUGUCUUCCCCCGAAGACAAUCAAUGCUGGGCAGAUUCCACACAUACACAAAGACACAAAGACACAAGCACACCCCUCCGACACCCUUCUUUCUCAGGCCAGAAAGUGCUCUAAUUAAAUUGUUGGAUGCGGCUGGUCAAGGGACGACAAUUCAGGGAUUGCAUUCGUGGAAAGAUAGACCUCCUUCCUUCUUUCUCUCUCUUUCUAUCUCUUCCUCUUUCAUCCCCCCUUCCCUUCUGCAGAGCAACAAAAAAGUGUCUCUUACAUAAUAAUGAUGAUGAUGAUGAUGAUAAUAAUAAUAAUAAUAAUAAUAAUAAUGGAUUUAAAUAUCCAGACCUGAGCAGAAAGAGACCCCUUAUUUCUUUUCCUUUAAAAGAAGACAUGAUAAAUACAGAUUUUCCACCUUCUAUUUUACCUGGAUUGAAAGAAACACAGAGAGAGAGAGCACUCACACGAUUAAAGAGCACAACAGACACGUGUUCAGGAAUGAAGCGUUCACACGACCUCACAAAGUCAGAUAGAAAGAGGAAUUAUUCCUAUGCAAAACAAAACCCAAAACCUCUUUUGAAGGAUGGGAAGGAUGGAAGAAUACUUAUUUUUGUUCUAGAUGAUCACCUUCUUUAUGUUUGAUCAGACACGCGUCUGUCAUUUUGGGAGAUCUAGUGCCUGGAUUUAUUGGAAAGACACACAACAAUAUUUUUGCAGUGUUUCUACUAAUGCAUCCAGACUGCCGAAAUAACCCGGUUUUAGACCCUUUCACUGAUGGUCCUAAACCCACUGCGGAAAUAAUUCAGUUUGAGACCGAUUGAACUGCCCUGGCUCAAUGCUAAGGGAUUCUGGGAACUGUAGUUCUGGGAGACAUUGAGCCUUCUUUCUGGGAUUGUUCUGGGGCCGCAAUAAACUACAAUUUCUGCAAUGGAGUGAGGCCGAUUUCGAUGUCUUUCUUUCCCCUCUUAAGGUUGCAUCCACACUGCAGAAAUAAUCCACUUGGAAACCUGCCAUGGUCCAGUGCUAUGGAAUUAUGGGAUCUGUAACUUCGUGAGACAUUUAGCCUUCUCUCUCAGAGAGCUUCGUUACCCCCAACAAACUCCACUUCCCAGGCCAGUUAAAGCGAUCCAAACCCGCAUUGUUUCUGUAGCACCAGAGAAGGCUAAAUGUCUCAGAAAGCUACACUUUCCAGAAUUCCCUAGCAUUCAGCAAGGGCAGUUAAAGCGGUCUCAAACCGGAUUAAUUCUGCAAUCUGGACGCAGUCCUGUGUGGCCCCGAUUCUGCCAGGAAUUUGAAGGCUGCAGACCCGUGUCUAGGAACAAGUCUUCACUUUCGUGUAAGGUUGCAAUAAGGUUGCAACAAGGUUGCAAACUCCCCUUUAGUAAGAGAGUUUGAACGCGUCUUAGCUUUGUCUGGGUCACAACUUUGCUUUCUCUUUCCUCACAGUUUCCCGUUUUGGUCCGCUUCACAUGACCUUUUUCCCGGGGACUUUUGCAGCAAGAGACACGAAGAAUGCCGCGAUCAUCGCACAAGGCUGAAAAUUAGUCAUUCUGGCUCUGAGCAGAGAGACCUUUGUGACCCUGACAAUUAUGCUGCGGAUUCUGUUGGAGGAAGGAAUUCCCAAAGAGACAGUUCUGAUGGAAAAGGCCAAGGGUCAGUACUACAGACAUUUUCUGAAGCAGGGGAAAAGAGAAGAGAAGAAAACCAAGGAAGAGAGACUGCCGACAUAGUCAUCUAGCCCAAAAGAUCUUCUGGAUUGGAUGGAAGCACAUCUCCCAUCAUUCCAUGGGGAAGGUGACUGGAAUCCUAUUGGUGUCAUAUAAAUGCUCAACUAUGGAAGGAGUUGGCUAUUUGCAUCCAGGUGAAAAUUGUGAAGCUUCAAUGAUAAUUCAAAAGGAAAGAAAAGAAAGAAAAACCUUGGAAAAUUAUCAGUGCGAAAUGAAAACUGUCUCUGCCAUCUUUGGUUUAAUUAACACAGUAAACUGCCAUUUUGGGACUUUCUCACAGAUUGCACACUCAGAAGAUUCGCCCGAUCUUUGUGGAUGAGCUAGGAUCAUCUCAGUUAGCCAGCGAAACAUAGACGAAGGUUGGACAACUUCCACAGAGCAAUCUUCUGGCAGAGUUGCUCUUCUGGCAAAGUUCAGCCAUUAGAAGAGGCCAAAAAGAGGACAGAGGAGAGGUGAGGCAAAGCAAGAGUCGAGUUACAUGAGAUUCAAGGCUCUUCCAGAUCAGAGGAACAAACACAGUGUUGCCACAAAGUGGAGUUCCUAGAUCUGCUACUGGACCCUUCUGGGAACUGAUAUCCAAAAUGUGAAGUUUUCCAAGCUCUGGAUCUGGUUCCUUCCUGAGAUACAGCACACAUGCUUUCACCAUGAGGACUUGGAUAUUGCUUUUAUGUUUGAAAGAAGCCAGAAGAUUCUGUGGCUGUAACCCCAGAUUUCUUGUGAAAAGGUUCUAAGUGCAAUGCCAGCAGCUCCAGAUAUAAUCAGCUGCAAAAUUUAGCUUUGUGGUUUCCUUGUUGAUCCACCAAAUCCUAGGGAAUCAUCUGCUAAAUCUCAGAAGCCCCAAACCUCCAAAUAACACCAAUGACCUUAGGAGAAACACACCAGGAAGACAUUUCACCAUUGGCUAGGACAGCAUAUUAAAAUACAAGGCACUGCUGUAGUAAAAACAGGGUACCUCAUUCCAGCUGUCUAUAUAUAUUCCUUUCCAGCACUAAAUCUGUCCAGGGACCUUUCAGAAAUACAACAUUAAGCCUCAUGCCUUCGCUUAGUGAAUAGAAAUGUGAAAAGGAUGGAGAUAAAAAUCAGAGGGACAUACAAUAGCGAAUGUUCUAUGAUUUAAUCACCAUUACAGCUUAAAACAGCACAGUCGACAUUCACCCUUGGUAAGUCAGGGAUAAAUCUCUGUCUAUGGCCGCCUUAAAGAGUGACGGCAUGGUAGCUCCAGGUCUUUUGACAAAACAGAUUGUCCUCCCCCUUUCCAUGUCCCAGAUAUGGUGCAAGGAAAUGAAGUUGAAGGGCACUGCCUGAAAAACGACCCUUUCCUAGCAUGGUGUGCAAGAAUAUGAAGUGUCAGUGGCAUGGUGAAUCCAUUCUGGGUUUCAGUUUGAACUUUAAAGGAGCUAGGUUCUUUGAAGCUUGGGGAAUCGCCAGCCUUCACUGAAUUUAUACAGGUUUGGUCCAAAAUAUUUUUUCUGCCUGAGGCAAUGGGAAAAAUGGUGCCAUGCACAAAGUGAUGCAUAUACAGGGUAUGCCUAUGGAUAAGGUCACCACACUUGUGACCCUGCUUCUGCAACCUUGGACUGUUAUGCAUGCUCAACUGCUUCCUUAGAGGAAUGUACUCAUGUAUAAGACACUGACAGGAUACCAGCCAUGGUGGUGCAUGUUACCCACAGCACAGUUUUGCUAGGUCACACAAUGGCUGCCAAAUGGUGAAUGGGUAUACUUAACCAGCCUAAAUGGGCAAAGAGGUGUUAUGAGAAAGCUCCCUCAGACCACCAGCUGAUUGACCAACUUUGCUUUCUCUUCCUGGCACCCAGAUCAUUAGGAUUGGUGGCACCUCAGUGUGGUAACUCAUGCUGCCAUCUCCUAGAUACCCUCCUCUGGCAGCCAAGCCACCUCUGCCAUGGUGGGGUGGGGUGAUGAUGCCAUGCAGAAGCCCCUUCUGGGUCUGUUGUGGCUGCUGGCAAAGUAGGAAGGGAAGUAGGUGGCAGAAGGCGCAGUCAUAUAUGUCUUGCCUUUUGAGGAAGAAGAGGAGUCCAUGGCCACUGCCACUGCCACCAUCAGCACCUCCUUUUCCUGCUCUGACCAGCAGCCCUGCCAAACACAGAAAAGGCAGCCAUGUUGCAGCAGCACACAUCCUCAUCCGCAAAUGCAGCUGAUGGAUGGCAGAGGUGCCCUGGCUGUCAGAAAAAGGUGGCCAGGGAGGUCUUGGCAUGGGCAGUGAGUGACCACCCCACUGUAUGUUCAUACCCUCUGAGAUGUCACCCAGUACAUUCUGCACCCCCUUCACCCUCCUAGUGAUGCCCCUUACAUCUGUGUAAGCACACUGGCAGAGCAAUAUACAUCUCUAGUUUCAAACAGGAUCCUGGAUUGUAUGUAUUUGUUUUUUAAAAACCCAGCCUGAAGAAAGCUUAUUGGCUAUGAACAUCUGAAACUGAGUGUUAAGGAGCAUCAGAGGUACAAUUCAUACCUCGGAGCACUUUUCCAUUAUCAAAUGGGUUUCCCGCCCCAGCAACUUGAAACACGCGCCUCCUUAGAGAAUUGCUCAAAGAUACAGCAUUAGAAAAAAGAAGAAGAAGAAAAGCUCAUAUUUCUAAUCUUCUUCAGAAUGGUUUUAUUUGGGGGCUGGAAAUGAAAAACAGCAGCUCCUACUAGAAAGGAGAUGGAGAGGGAAGCCAAAGAACCGUUGGCUGGAGAGCUGAGAAAGUGUGGCAGAAGUCAAACAAUCUUGUCUGAGAUGAAAGCAGCGACAGACAGAAGAAAUGUCAUUUCCUCCAGGGUAAGCUACACUACAAAUUCAGCGUUCAAAGUUCUCAUGUUUCAUCCUAACAAAUUCCAUUACAUUAGCAAGAUUAGAAAAAUCGCAUUUUGUUUCCUUGGGCUGUGAAAAUGUAAGCAAAGUAAACUCAUCAGGAAGAAAAGGACUGUUUAGUGUAGUGUGUGUGUGUGUGUGUCUUUGUGUGUGUCUGAGUGACUCUAGAGGGAAUGUGAUAUUUUCCUUCCCGAGAUUAGAAGGCUACAGAUACCUUGUGUAACAAAUAAAUGGAGGACAUGGGAAUGCAUGCACAAGCCAAAAUGUUUUUGAAGUCCUUGCUUUUUCAGGUCAUCAUUUGCAUUAACAACCGUGAAAUGGGAGGGCAUGAGCAGGAUUAUGAGCUUCUGUUGAAAGAUGAUUCUUCUGAACAAUUGGUGCUAUUUUUAUUUUAUUUUAUUUUUGGAAAUGCUGGAUGGCAAUUGUUUUCAGGAAAAAUGCAUGGAGGAAAAGUGAUCCCACCUGCUAAAAGCAUAUAUUUUUGGAACUAUUAACCCAUUAAAUGGCUCAGUCAAGAGAGAGCUGAACUGACGCUACUCGUAAUUUUGGGAUAAGUUGUUGAAGAAGAGUAGUUUUCAAUGAAGUAGCCACGUUAAUAUCUUGCAGCAUAAGAAAAAGGAGAUGGGAAGGGAAAAAAGGAAUAUAACAGCACCUUUAAGACAAACUAAUGUAGCAGCAUUUUAAGACUAAGCUUUCAUGAGUAUAAACCCACUUCUUCAGAUGCUUGUAGAGUGAUAAUAAAUGGUUAGGUGUAAUGCAUAUAUGUACAGUUGUGGGAGCGGGGUGGAAAGUCAUAGGAUUCAGAAAGGUCAAGGGAUAUGCAAACUAUGACUCUUGUCCUAAAUUUUCAAAGGGCUGGGCAAACUGAUAGGUCUUUCACAUCUUUACAAUGGCCACUUAGUGCUGAUGUAUGAAAGCAAUACAUCUGCUUUCCAAAAGUCAGUUCUUUGGGGGAGAAGAUGCCUUUUCUUACAGUAGAGAGGAAUCUUCUGUGAAUAUAUGUAGUAUGCAGUGAAGCCAUUGUCCUUGUUCAUAUCUCUGUUAAUAGACUGGAAUUUGCAAAUAUAAUUCAGUAAAUAUAAUUCUCUUUCUAGUCUUCCUUUGUAAUUUCCUUGUUCAAGGACUGCAACCUUUAAAUCCCAUACCCUACAUCCGUGAUGGUUGAAACGUUCUGCAACUGGUUUUUGGGUAUUGCCAUUUCUAAUGUCAGAUUUCUGUCCAUUGCAUUGAGACUAUCCUUUUUGUCCACAGUAGAGUGUAGAGGGGCUUUGCUGUCAUAGGAUGGUGUAUAUCACAUUGGAGGAAGGGUAACAACUAAGUAUACCAUAGAUGUGAGGACAGAGUUGGCAUCUGGAGUUUGUGGCAGGGUCUUGCUACAUGCUCAAGAGGUGCAACAUGAGAGCAUUGUCCUUCAGAGAAGAAUUUUGCCUCUAAAUAUUUAAAGUGGAAUAGAGAUUGUGUGUGUGUGUCUAUGUGUGUAUGUGCCUUCAAGUAGCCACUAAACGUAUGGAGACCCUGUGGAUUUCAUAGGGUUUUUAAAGGCAAGGAAUACUCAGAGGUUGCUUUGCCGGUUUCUUCCUUUACAAUUUAGCCUACAGCACCUGGUAAUUGUGUGAAAUUAGGGACAAAUCAGUCUAUUUCCUAUCUGCGUCAGUUUCACACAUGUUUGAUCAUAGGUCUGGUUCUUCCUGCUUUCUGUGAUUUACUUUGAAGCUGUAUAAUGUCCCCUUAGAAAUGCACAUUUUGGAGACACGUUCACCCCAAAGAAGAUUUUAAUUGUUAGGCAUGGUUACUAGAGGAUGAUCGUUCAGAGAAAGAGGUUUGAGGGCUUUCUAGGCAAAAUGUUAAAUAAUACUCAGAUACUGGUGUAAGGAAGAAUUGCAAAAGGGAUCCUGCUUCUGAUUGUCGGAGUGGAAAUUGGUGAUGGGAGGAGGGUAUAAAUGUCAGUAGUUUGCACCCUGAACAGACCGUCAUCACUUGCAGCAGGUGCUGUCUGGUCAAGUACCCUAUAUACUUGACUAUAAAUCGACCUCAUGUAUAAGUCGAGGGCAAGUUUUGGGGGCAGAAUUAAUGGAUUUCGAUAUGACCCAUGGAUAAGUCAAGGGUAAAA